GUUCUAUUCAAGAAACAAAGGAAUGCCCCAGGGUAAGCUCAAGAAGGCCAGCUGUAGGUGCUGCCUGUUGAGCUAAACCCUGUCCAAGCAUAACUUCCUUCCAGACAUGGGCGUACAUGGUCCCGGGCCCUUUACCUGCCAUUGCUGUCAACUCCAUGGCCUGCUUCCCAGACGGAUGCUCCUGUUUCACAAGCCAGCUGCAUUUCUUUUUCUUUUCUCUUCCUUUUUCCUUAUUAUUAUUAUUAUUAUUUUUUUCUUUUUGGCACAUGUAAUUUUGGAAGCAUCGUUCAGUUUCCCCAGGAAGCUCUGCACUGAGUGACGACAGGAACAAGUAUGCCUUCAUUGAGCACUGCCUAUGUCACCGGUGUUCUGGGCCUUGGCGCCUGGAUUGCUUUACACACACAGGGUGCUAAUUAAGACUGUGGCAUGCCUAGAGUUGAAUCUCUGGUGAAUGGAACCAGAUACUUGUCAUUGUGGAGGGACAAAGGCCUUUAAAGGGACUUAGUUCCAAAGUGGCAGCCCCUGGGUGUCUUCUAGCUAGGGGCUUUCCAUUUGGUCCGCAGUGCUCCUCGCUGUUCCCACUCCCCCAAAAUCACUUUGAAAGCAUUUAGCUGGGACAUCUUCUCUUCUGUUCAGCUUACCCUCAGUCCUCCCCAUGAUCUUGUAUCACCCCGCUUCACUUAGCUACAGUUCCCGCCUAGCCCUUGAGAGAGAGUUUGAGUUUGUGAGAGUUUAUCCUUAUCCAAGUGCCACAUUUAACUCAAUUUACUUAUUCAUUCAUUCAUAAUAUAUUUAUUGAACACCUGCUAUGUGCUAAAGAAUGUAAUGGGAUUCAGGAGUGAACAAACAUAAAGUCAUCGAUCUCAUGGAGACUAAUAAUGAUAAUGUUAUAAUAAUGGUGAUGAUGAUGGUGAUUAAUGAGCAUUGAGUAUUUACUUUGUACCAGGGGUGUUUCCCUUACUGUAAAAUGAGGAAACUAAUGCAUAGGCAAGUUUCAUCCUUAUGUGGCAGACAGAAAUUAACAAAGGAGCAAAUAAGAGGUGCGAGGGCUCUAUGUACAAUUUGGUAGCCACUAGCCUGGCUAUUUAAAUCUAAAGUCAUGGAAAUGCAAUAAAAUUCAAAAUUCAGUUCCUUGGUCACACAUAUUUCAAAUGCUCAACACUUACACAUAUCCAGUGGCAGUCACUUCGGGCAGUGCAGACACAGAACAUUUUCAUCAUUGCAAAGUUCUACUGGGCAGCCCUGGUCUAGAGUGUUGUGGCUCAUAAUGGAAGCUCCAGGGUUUGAAUCCUGAUCUGACACUCACCAGAUGGGAGACCUUGAGCAAAUUUCUUAACCUCUCUCUAUCUUGGGUUAUUGAUAUAUAAAAUGUGGUCAAUGGCAAUACCAAUCUCAAGGAGUUUGGGAGAAGAUGAAUUAAUUCUAGGAUGUUUAGAACAGUGUCCAUCACAUAAUAAACAUCUGAUCCAUUGAUCAUAUCUACUAUUAUAAAUAUAUAAAAUGAUGGGAGGUCAUGAUAAAUGCUGUAAGGGAAAAUAAAGCGAGGCGAGUGGUUGGAUGUGACAGGGUCUUGCUUAGACGAAACAGUCAAGGGUGUCUUCUUGAGAGGGUGGCCUCUGAAUAAAGUCAGGAAGCCAGACCUGUGGAUAACUGGGGGAAGAACAUCCAGGCAGAGGCCGUGAGCAAAGACCCCAAGGCUGGGUCUUGCUUGGCAUGUCCCAGGUACAGCAGAGGCCAGUGUAGCUGGAAAGGAGCAAGUGAGGGAGAGAGGAGGCAGAUGGGCUUGGAGAGAUGCUAGAGGACCAUGGUGAGGACUUGCACUGCAUUGAAUGUGGUGGGAGCACCUGGUGGGUUUUGAGCAGGGACGUGUUGGGGUCUGACUUAUAUUUUAGAGUCACCCUGGCUGGCCAUGUGGGGCUAGAAGACCCCAGGGGAGGAGAUGGAGGCUGGGAGGUCUGAUAGAAGGCUGCUGCAGCCAGCAGGCCAGUGGAGACACCAAAAGAAGGGGCAGUGGGUAGGCUUUGCAUUCAGGGCAGCUCUCACACUGGCUGUCCCCUCUGCCUGGAGCAGGCUUUGCCCAGAUGUCCUCCUGGCUCACUCCCUCACCUCCUUAUGUCUUGACUCAGAGGUCACCCUUCCAGAUUAGACUGCCUGACCCCUUCUGUGCUUUCUGUUUUCUCCUUAUUACAAAUGAAUCUGCACCAUAUUUCACUGAUUGUGUUUGCUGCAUGCAUGAGGGCUCACAUAAGGAUGUGCUUUUUGUCCACUUUGUUCAUUGCUGAAUCACUAGCACUGACAGCUGUACCUGGCACAAACUGGGUGCUUAAGAAAUAUUCUUGAAUCAAGGAAUCAAUAAAUGAAUGUUAUAGAGAAAGCAGGAGAAUAGAUGAUAAUUGAGAAAAC
rnacentral:lncRNA from 1 species